UGCAGUCUUUUUUAUGCAAGGGUC
rnacentral:piRNA from 2 species